GUCCACGCCGUAAACGAUGGGCACUAGAUGCUUGGGGGGAGCGACCCCCUGAGUGUCGGCGCUAACGCAUUAAGUGCCCCGCCUGGGGAGUACGGCCGCAAGGCUGAAACUCAAAGGAAUUGACGGGGGCCCGCACAAGCGGUGGAGCAUGUGGUUUAAUUCGACGCAACGCGAAGAACCUUACCUGGGCUUGACAUGGCCGAGAAAGCGCUGGGAAACCAGCGCCCUCCUUCGGGACUCGGUCACAGGUGCUGCAUGGCUGUCGU
rnacentral:rRNA from 1 species